UGAGGAGUAGCUCAGUUGGUAGAGCAGCAGACCGAUAAUCUGCUUGUCGUGGGUUCAAGUCCCUCCUCCUCAACCA
rnacentral:tRNA from 1 species